GACGAACGCUGGCGGCGUGCCUAAUACAUGCAAGUCGAACGGAAAGGCCCUGCUUUUGUGGGGCGCUCGAGUGGCGAACGGGUGAGUAACACGCGAGUAACCCGCCCCUGACUUUGGGAUAACUCUAGGAAACUGGGGCUAAUACCGGAUAGGAGCUCUUGCUCCAUGGUGGGGGUUGGAAAGUUACGGCGGUUCGGGCUGGAGUCGCGGCUUAUCAGCCUGUUGGGGGGGUAGUGGCUGACCCAGGCUUCGACGGGUAGCCGGCCUGGGAGGGUGACCGGCCCCAUUGGGCUUGGGGUGCGGCCCGGACGCCUACGGGAGGAAGGGGUGGGGACUAUACCGCAAUGGGCGGAGGCAGGGAGCAGCAACGCCGCGUGCGAGAUGACGGCCUUCAGGUUGUAAACCGCUUUCGCCUGUGACGACGCGUGAGUGCCGGUACUGGGCAGAGAGGCACCGCCAACCUACGU
rnacentral:rRNA from 1 species